GACAGAGGGUGCAAACGUUGCUCGGAAUUAUUGGGCGUAAAGCGUACGCAGGCGGCUCGGCAAGUCGAGUGUGAAAUCCCGGGGCUCAACCCCGGACAUGCAUUCGAUACUGCCGGGCUUGAGUGCGGGAGAGGGAAGCGGAAUUCCUGGUGUAGCGGUGAAAUGCGCAGAUAUCAGGAGGAACACCAAUUGCGAAGGCAGCUCGCUGGAACGUUACUGACGCUGAGACGCGAAAGCGUGGGGAGCAAACAGG
rnacentral:rRNA from 1 species